rnacentral:rRNA from 1 species
GGUUAAGCGACUAAGCGUACACGGUGGAUGCCCUGGCAGUCAGAGGCGAUGAAGGACGUGCUAAUCUGCGAUAAGCGUCGGUAAGGUGAUAUGAACCGUUAUAACCGGCGAUUUCCGAAUGGGGAAACCCAGUGUGUUUCGACACACUAUCAUUAACUGAAUCCAUAGGUUAAUGAGGCGAACCGGGGGAAAUGAAACAUCUAAGUACCCCGAGGAAAAGAAAUCAACCGAGAUUCCCCCAGUAGCGGCGAGCGAACGGGGAGCAGCCCAGAGCCUGAAUCAGUGUGUGUGUUAGUGGAAGCGUCUGGAAAGGCGCGCGAUACAGGGUGACAGCCCCGUACACAAAAAUGCACAUGCUGUGAGCUCGAUGAGUAGGGCGGGACACGUGGUAUCCUGUCUGAAUAUGGGGGGACCAUCCUCCAAGGCUAAAUACUCCUGACUGACCGAUAGUGAACCAGUACCGUGAGGGAAAGGCGAAAAGAACCCCAGCGAGGGGAGUGAAAAAGAACCUGAAACCGUGUACGUACAAGCAGUGGGAGCACGCUUAGG